AUGAUUCGAGCUGUAUGUUUUCAGAGUUUACUUAAAACUGGUUACCCUUUACUGAGCUCAGGGUUAUCUAAACUGCUAUAGGGGUAUCAGUGACAACAUUCUAAUUGUUUAGCACUGUUUCAAAGCAAUGAAAAUUUACAGUUAUGCCUGUGCUCUCCUACAGAUGGCUUGGUGCCACCUGACAUGAAGUAGCCUUUCGGGAAGAACAAGAAAGAAAAAGAAAAGAAUAGAAGAAUGACCAAAGGAGAUCACUUCACAUCAUGUUUCCUCCUUUCAGGGUGGAGAGGCUAGAUGAGCGGUUCUUUUUGAUCCACUGACAUUAAGAUGUCUGCUUCUUUUGAUGUGUUUUCAUUCGGAUGUAUACAAGUGUGCUGGACUGCAUCUUGCUGCAUUCCCACAUGAGAUGAAACCCCUCCGUGAUAAACAGAGUGGCAAGCCAUGCUAUUUUGCCCAAAGUGACCUAGAUGGGAGAUUAUUAUAUAAGUAAAAAAGGCACACUUGCCUAAUAGACAAACUCAGACAAGCUCAAGUGGCAGGAUUGCCUUUUCAAGAAAGGAAAACCUCCAGGAAGGAGUUUUACAGCAUGCUGAGCUAUUAUCCCAAAUGUUCUGCUUUUCCUCCAAGAGAAGUAUAACUGUUUCUGACAUUGGUGGAGGAAGACUUCAGAAGACAUAAUGGUUCAAAGAGACAUUUUAGCCACUAUCAGUCAGAGCUAAGUAUUUGUUUGAAGCAUCUACACUCAUUUUCUGAAAUAAGUUUUCAUUUAUACAUAGACAGUCCCUAGAUGUAAAAAGUAUAUGUACUUCUGAUCAGUGUGAAUUGAACCU
rnacentral:lncRNA from 1 species